CCUACACAUGCAAGUCGAGCGGUAACAGGAAAGUGCUUGCACUUUUGCUGACGAGCGGCGGACGGGUGAGUAAAGUCUGGGGAUCUGCCCGAUGGCGGGGGAUAACCACUGGAAACGGUGGCUAAUACCGCAUGAUGUCGCGAGACCAAAGUGGGGGACCUACGGGCCUCACGCCAUCGGAUGAACCCAGAUGGGAUUAGCUAGUAGGUAGGGUAAWGGCCUACCUAGGCGACGAUCCCUAGCUGGUCUGAGAGGAUGACCAGCCACACUGGGACUGAGACACGGCCCAGACUCCUACGGGAGGCAGCAGUGGGGAAUAUUGCACAAUGGGCGCAAGCCUGAUGCAGCCAUGCCGCGUGUAUGAAGAAGGCCUUCGGGUUGUAAAGUACUUUCAGCGGGGAGGAAGGGUUUGGCCUGAAG
rnacentral:rRNA from 1 species